rnacentral:rRNA from 1 species
UACGUAGGCAGCGAGCGUUGUUCGGAGUUACUGGGCGUAAAGGGUGUGUAGGCGGUUGUUUAAGUUUGGUGUGAAAUCUCCCGGCUCAACUGGGAGGGUGCGCCGAAUACUGAAUGACUUGGAGUGCGGGAGAGGAAAGUGGGAAUUCCUGGUGUAGCGGUGAAAUGCGUAGAUAUCAGGAGGAACACCGGUGGUGUAGACGGCUUUCUGGACCGUAACUGACGCUGGAGACACGAAAGCGUGGGGAGCGAACAGG